UACACUCCUACGGGAGGCAGCAGUGGGGAAUUUUGGACAAUGGGCGAAAGCCUGAUCCAGCAAUGCCGCGUGAGUGAAGAAGGCCUUCGGGUUGUAAAGCUCUUUUGUCAGGGAAGAAACGGUGAGAGCUAAUAUCUCUUGCUAAUGACGGUACCUGAAGAAUAAGCACCGGCUAACUACGUGCCAGCAGCCGCGGUAAUACGUAGGGUGCAAGCGUUAAUCGGAAUUACUGGGCGUAAAGCGUGCGCAGGCGGUUUUGUAAGUCUGAUGUGAAAUCCCCGGGCUCAACCUGGGAAUUGCAUUGGAGACUGCAAGGCUAGAAUCUGGCAGAGGGGGGUAGAAUUCCACGUGUAGCAGUGAAAUGCGUAGAUAUGUGGAGGAACACCGAUGGCGAAGGCAGCCCCCUGGGUCAAGAUUGACGCUCAUGCACGAAAGCGUGGGGAGCAAACAGGAUUAGAUACCCUUGUAGUCCCAUGA
rnacentral:rRNA from 1 species